GCCUACGGGAGGCAGCAGUGGGGAAUAUUGCACAAUGGGGGAAACCCUGAUGCAGCGACGCCGCGUGAGUGAAGAAGUAUUUCGGUAUGUAAAGCUCUAUCAGCAGGGAAGAUAAUGACGGUACCUGACUAAGAAGCCCCGGCUAACUACGUGCCAGCAGCCGCGGUAAUACGGAGGGGGCAAGCGUUAUCCGGAUUUACUGGGUGUAAAGGGAGCGUAGACGGCAGCACAAGUCUGAAGUGAAAUGCCGGGGCUUAACCCCGGAACUGCUUUGGAAACUGGGCAGCUAGAGGGCCGGAGAGGUA
rnacentral:rRNA from 1 species